AAAAAAAAAAGAAAGCCCCACUUGGAUAAUUAGAACGGUUUCGUUGAUUAGUUGCUCCUGUGAUACUGGACAACUUGAAAUAUUACUGGGGUCGAUAACAGAGCAGGACGCUUCACCUUUCUGCUUCACCUUAAAGUUGGUCAACGGAGUGAAAAUCUUCCUACUUCAUAGCCGUCUUGCAAAUAUAUUUACUUAUUUUUAUUAACUUGAAUGUAGAUCAGAUUUCACAUGGCAGCAUCUCUUGGGUCUUGCUUGCUGUUAGGUUAAUUUUUGAGAAUGUCAUGUAAUACAGCAUAGAUAUCUUUAUGCAAUGUACAUGUAAUCCUGUAUGCUGAUUGAUUUUCUAUACUGUCAUUCACAUUCUGAAAAUCCAAGUAGAUUAUGAAUCUUUUCAGUUAUGCUUUCAUCCUAAUUCAACUUGUGUAUCCUGCCAAGGCAAACCAGUCAAGUGGUAUUUCUCAGCAGUGUAGUUAUUUAUUUUCUAUUUAAGGAACAGCAAUAUGCUACUGUUUGUACAGCUUGUAUAAUUUGUAYAGCUUCUUAAUCCAGUAGACUUUUGUUUGGUAGGUUAGUAAUUGCAUACAGCGAUUGUAGUCGUUGGAUGUUUUAUGACACUGGACAGCACCAGGCUUUCUGCACAUUAUGAAGACCGGGUUUUAGGAGAUUACAUGUCUUUGCCUUAUUGCAUAUCAUGAUUUCAUAAAUUUGUGCUUUUUAGUGUUAACUGUUUAUGCACUCAGCUAGUAACCAACCAGAUAUUUAUGUGAGGAAAGCAAGGAUGUUUGGUCAGUUAAAAAAAUGCCA